rnacentral:rRNA from 1 species
UACGGAGGGUGCAAGCGUUAUCCGGAUUCACUGGGUUUAAAGGGUGCGUAGGUGGCUUAGUAAGUCAGUGGUGAAAUCUCCGGGCUUAACCCGGAAACUGCCAUUGAUACUAUUAGUCUUGAAUACCGUGGAGGUCAGCGGAAUAUGUCAUGUAGCGGUGAAAUGCUUAGAUAUGACAUAGAACACCAAUUGCGAAGGCAGCUGGCUACACGAGCAUUGACACUCAGGCACGAAAGCGUGGGGAUCAAACAGG